rnacentral:rRNA from 1 species
GAUGAACGCUGGCGGCGUGCUUAACACAUGCAAGUCGAACGAUGAAGCCCAGCUUGCUGGGUGGAUUAGUGGCGAACGGGUGAGUAACACGUGAGUAACCUGCCCUUAACUCUGGGAUAAGCCUGGGAAACUGGGUCUAAUACCGGAUAGGAGCGUCCACCGCAUGGUGGGUGUUGGAAAGAUUUAUCGGUUUUGGAUGGACUCGCGGCCUAUCAGCUUGUUGGGGAGGUAAUGGCUCACCAAGGCGACGACGGGUAGCCGGCCUGAGAGGGUGACCGGCCACACUGGGACUGAGACACGGCCCAGACUCCUACGGGAGGCAGCAGUGGGGAAUAUUGCACAAUGGGCGCAAGCCUGAUGCAGCGACGCCGCGUGAGGGAUGACGGCCUUCGGGUUGUAAACCUCUUUCAGUAGGGAAGUAGCGAAAGUGACGGUACCUGCAGAAGAAGCACCGGCUAACUACGUG